UAUAUACUCACUCACACACAUAUAUAUAUAUACACACACACACACUGUGUGUGUGUAUAUAUAUAUAUAUAUGUGUAUUAUAUGUGUGUGAGUGAGUAUAUA